rnacentral:rRNA from 1 species
AAUUGGAGGGCAAGUCUGGUGCCAGCAGCCGCGGUAAUUCCAGCUCCAAUGGCGUAUAUUAAAGUUGUUGCAGUUAAAAAGCUCGUAGUUGAAUUUCGGGAUUGACACAUCGGUCGUGCCUUAAGGGGUAUGAACUGGUGUAGUCAAUUUCUCACCUUCUGGAGAACCGCGAUGCCCUUAAUUGGGUGUCACGGGGAACCAGGACCUUUACUUUGAAAAAAUUAGAGUGUUUAAAGCAGGCAUUUUGCUUGAAUACAUUAGCAUGGAAUAAUAAAAUAGGACGGCAUGAUUCUAUUUUGUUGGUUUCUAGGAUCACCGUAAUGAUUAAUAGGGAUAGUUGGGGGCAUUAGUAUUCAAUUGUCAGAGGUGAAAUUCUUGGAUUUAUUGAAGACUAACUACUGCGAAAGCAUUUGCCAAGGAUGUUUUCAUUAAUCAAGAACGAAAGUUAGGGGAUCGAAGACGAUCAGAUACCGUCGUAGUCUUAACCAUAAACUAUGCCGACUAGGAAUCAGACGAUGUUAAUUUUUUAAUGACUCGUUUGGCACCUUACGGGAAACCAAAGUGU